AAUGACGUCAUAUUGCAAUUGCAAACAUUUUUCCCAAGAGCAGAAACAUAAGUUAUGGCCCUUGAACAAGAGAUAUGAAAAAAAAAUCCGGACUUUUGGUUGGCAGCGGUAGACUCGUUAACGAGCAGGACAACAGUGGCGUGACUCACUAAUGACAGGUUUAGCGUUGGAACAUAGACAGUGACGUAACAAAACAUUGUCUUGUGAUUAAAAUUUGACCAAUCAAGAUUAUAAGAAGCGAUAUCUCCUAGGAAAAUAUAGCAGGAGAUAUCGCAAAUUAUAGUGCCAGCGAUAUCUCCUACAAAAGCCGCGGAUUUCACAUUGUUAUCAACUCGUGCUGAUAAAUCCAGGGCCGCCGGAACGAUUGCGUCAUUGGGCGGCGGACUAGCAAUGUUGAGGAUCACGAAGUGGCACGAAUUUGCUAUGAGGGUCCGGGGGCAUGCUCACCCGGGAACAUUUUAAAGUGUAGAUACUGGAAAACCGAUUUUAAAGGCUUCUGGACCUUAUAAAUAAUAUUUGAUUGUGAUAAAAUGUGUUGCUAUUUAAUAUAAAAAUAAAUGCAAAUUAUAUAGAAAAACAUUAAGGAGCGUUCAGUUACAUUUUAAAAACUUUUUUGAAAGUUUAUAAAUGCAUUCAGGCCACAUCACUGGAAGGAGCUUCUUUCCAUGACCCAUGUUUUUUGUUGUUGUUGUUGUUGUUGUUUCUUUAAUGAUGGUUUGUCUUCGAUGAUGUCUGGAAAUGUCAUUUGGUUUUUGGUUUUGGGGGGGGGGGGGGGGGGGGGGGGGGGUUGCAUUACCAGUACUCAAAAUUUUCUGAAGUUGAACACUCUUUUUGUCGUGACCACAGCAAAAUGCAUUGCCUACAGAUUUCAUAUCCAAGCUGUUCAAUCCGUCCUUAUGUACAUGCAAAAGCAUCAGGUGAUUUAACCUUUUCUGCGACAUACUGGUACGUAGGUAUAUUUUUACUCUUCGCAAGGCCGAAAACGCUCGCUGGUUGCAUCGGCGUAUCGGUUGUGGAUAGUAUUUAUGUAGAUCUAUAUACAAAUCUAAUAUUAAUCUAUAAUGACAAAACUGAUUUGGACCCGGACCGUUUUGGAAUACAAAUACAAUUUAGUAAAGUGGUAAAAUUCUUUGGACGGCGAUCUCAACUGGUCAUUUUGUUAUAUCACAAGACAGUCGAGGAGUAUGCUCUAUCUACAAAGUAAUUAUGUUUUUUUCACAAUUUUAUGUUUUGUAAUUUAUGUGACUUUCUGUCGUUUGUUUUAAAGGCAUAUUUUUUUUUUCUUCAAAACAAUUUAACAAUGACCCCUUUAAUUACUCACAUGAUGUCUGUUAUUAACAUUCUGUGCAGUAAGUUCAAAUAUGGCCCUCAUAAUAUAUUAUAUGAAGCAGUUGUACCAUUAAUGCCAAGGUGUCAGAUUUAAAAAAACAAAAUGUCAUGACCUUUUGACCUCUGGUGACCUAAUUAUUAAAGCAAUUUGUACAUAUCAUAUAUCAGUUUGUAGAGUGGUUUAAUAAAAUAUUUUGAGUGGUAA